CUGCCAGACUCCUACGGGAGGCAGCAGUGGGGAAUAUUGCACAAUGGGGGAAACCCUGAUGCAGCGACGCCGCGUGAGCGAUGAAGUCUUUCGGUCUGUAAAGCUCUAUCAGCAGGGAAGAAAAUGACGGUACCUGACUAAGAAGCCCCGGCUAACUACGUGCCAGCAGCCGCGGUAAUACGUAGGGGGCAAGCGUUAUCCGGAUUUACUGGGUGUAAAGGGAGCGUAGACGGCUAUGCAAGUCUGGAGUGAAAGGCGGGGGCCCAACCCCCGGACUGCUCUGGAAACUGUAGAGCUAGAGUGCAGGAGAGGUAAGUGGAAUUCCUAGUGUAGCGGUGAAAUGCGUAGAUAUUAGGAGGAACACCAGUGGCGAAGGCGGCUUACUGGACUGUAACUGACGUUGAGGCUCGAAAGCGUGGGGAGCAAACAGGAUUAGAUACCCUCGUACU
rnacentral:rRNA from 1 species